rnacentral:misc_RNA from 1 species
UAUGAAGAACGUAGCGAAAUGCGAUAAGUAGUGUGAAUUGCAGAAUUCAGUGAAUCAUCGAAUCUUUGAACGCACAUUGCGCCCUUUGGUAUUCCUUAGGGCAUGCCUGUUCGAGCGUCAUUUAAACCUUCAAGCUCAGCUUGGUGUUGGGUGACUGUCCGCCGCCUCCGGGCGCGUGGACUCGCCUCAAAAUUAUUGGCGGCCGGUACAUUGGCUUCGAGCGCAGCAGAAACGCGAACUCGGGCCCGUCGUAUUGGCUCCCAGAAGCUAUCUUCACAAUUUUGACCUCGGAUCAGGUAGGGAUACCCGCUGAACUUAAGCAUAUCAAUAAGCGGAGGA